UACGUAGGGUGCAAGCGUUGUCCGGAAUUAUUGGGCGUAAAGAGCUCGUAGGCGGUCUGUCGCGUCGGAUGUGAAAAAUCCAGGGCUCAACCCUGGACCUGCAUUCGAUACGGGCAGACUAGAGUUCGGCAGGGGAGACUGGAAUUCCUGGUGUAGCGGUGAAAUGCGUAGAUAUCAGGAGGAAUACCGAUGGCGAAGGCAGGUCUCUGGGCUAGAACUGACGCUCAUGCACGAAAGCGUGGGGAGCAAACAGG
rnacentral:rRNA from 1 species